GACGAACGCUGGCGGCGUGCCUUACCCAUGCAAGUCGAACGGGUGGAGCAAUCCCCUAGUGGCAGACGGCUGAGUAACACGUGAGUACCUACCCGACGCAGGGGGAUAGUCGUUCGAAAGGACGGGUAAUACCGCGUAAGCUCUCGCAAGAGAGGAGAGCAGAGAUGCGGCGUUGGAGGGGCUCGCGGCCCAUCAGGUAGUAGGUGGGGUGAUGGCCUACCUAGCCGAUGACGGGUAGCUGGUCUGAGAGGAUGAUCAGCCAGACUGGGACUGAGAGACGGCCCAGACUCCUACGGGAGGCUG
rnacentral:rRNA from 1 species